AACAGGUCAUGAAGACACAAUGCAAUCAAGCUUGCAGCAGAAAAUCGGAAGAAGAUGCAAGUGUUUUAUGGUGUGUUGCUGCAAUAUUUUGUUGUACUGGGAAAUAAAAGGCCAUUGAAUAUUGACUUACUGGAUUUGUUGGUGAAGCCAUUGAUGGAAAUGAGUGUGGAGAUUCCUUACUUUGCUGCAAUAUGUGCUCGUCAAAGGAUUUUGCGAACUCGAACACAAUUUUGCGAGGUUAUCAAGAACCCAG